UGAUCAUAACAGAGCACCAUUCCUUUGACACAGACUUGCAUCGCGUUGCGGAUUUCAGAUCCAGCGGAUGCAAUAUUUCUAACACUAGAUCUAUUGGGAGAUCAUCAAUAGCCGUGGCCGUCCUUGUCCUCGUCCUCAUCCUCUUUCUUCGCUUGUGGACAUCCGAAUUCUCGUAGUAUGAGAUUACACUACUACUACUCCUUCUAUGAUGUUUUUUUACUUUUCUCAUCUCCAUCAUUAAAUCAAUCGGAGGAUAGGAUAGGAUUUCUCUCUCUUCUGCCUGCGACUGCUUUACUAAAAUAAAAGAAUUCUAAAGAUUACAAUUUCUUUUAAGAGAUUGUCAUCAGUAAAUAUAGCCAAAGCCACCGACUAAACCACCGACUAUUACCCCCACCAACUAUCAGUAUAACUUUUUUUGGCCCUUUACCUUGCUACUCCAGUGCACUAAUUGGCAAACAAGGAAUGGACAUCUCCUCUUGCCAUUGGAGGAGGAACCUUAUUUUAAAUCUCUGCCUUACAUUCCACCAAUGUAUCAAGAACAACGCCACAAUGAGUUCAAUAUUCAAGCUUCGUGUCAUGACUUGUUCUUAUGCUCUGAAUCUGCAGUUGUUAGUGAUCAUAAUACUCCCUUUUUUUACUAUGUCAUUAAUCCAAUUACUAGGCAAUGGACUGCCCUUCCUCCACUUCCAGAUCAAUACACCGCAUCAGUAGUAAGGCGUCGGCCUCGGAUUGGGUUCUUAUGUAACUCCUGUGACAUUCUUCUUCAUCAUCAUCAUCAGCAGCUUCAACUUAGUUUUAGAGUGAUGCUCAUUCCUGAAUUUGAGGGCAUGCCAACGGAAUUCAAGGUGUACAUAUUCUCAUCCGACACAAGUAAAUGGAGUGAGUCUCUGGUGUCGUGCCCGGCCCCUGAAGGAUUUGAAUUGGCUUCUUUUGCCUUCCCCACUGUUCCUUAUAAUGGCUUGCUAUUUUGGUGUAGUAGGGAUGGCUCCCUUGUUGGCUUCUUAAAUAGUUGAAUAAUUCUUUAAAUCAUAUUCUGGUUUUGUCAGCUCACAAUUGCUGUAUCACAUGAAUUAGCCCAUCUAUGGCUUGGCAAUCUGGUAGCAAUGGAAUGGUGGAGUCAUUUAUGGCUUAAUGAGGGAUUUGCAACAUGGGUAAAAUUGAGUCAUCUCACAUAACUGCUUCCACUUGCUGGCUAUUGCAAUACAUUCAUUUUCUUGUUUGAAUCUGUAUUUGAUCUUAAAUUUCCAGGUAAGUUAUAUGGCCACUGACAGGCAACAGCAUGUUUCCUUAGUGGAAUAUAUGGACUCUAUUUCUUCUAAAAACAAAUGAUGGCCUGCGUAUGGAUGCACUGGAACAAUUGCAUCCUAUUGAGGUCGAGGAACCCCGGGCUUGUUCAAUAGGGGAAUUAUUUGAUUCUAUCAGCUACAAAAAGGGAUCUUCUGUCACUCGAAUGUUGCAGGGUUAUCUUGGUAUGGCACAUUUCAGGAGGGAUGGUUCAUGUUCUUGACUUAUAGUUGGGUUAUUUUUAUAUGGAGCACCAAAUAUUGAUUCUGUUUUUUUAUGGUAAAACCUUCUCAUUUCUUGGAAAAUAUAUACCAAAUUAAUGCUUGGCAUUUCUUAGUUAAUGUCAUUUGUUUUAUAAAGCUUUAAUGGCUCUCUUAUCCAUUAAGCAGGUUUGGCACUUUAUAAUUGUCAAGGCUAUUAUGUAAUUUAUGUUUAUUUCUUAUCAUAUAUGUUAACAAUGCCAUUAUAGUCUUCAAUUAUUCAAUGGACUAAGAAUAUAUAUUGAUACCACAUGGGCUCAAAAAUUUAGAGUGGAUUGGGGUUUGACUCAGUGUGUAGGAUGCUUUUGCCAUGUAACACCUUCUAGGUAUUUUCUUGGGCAGAGACUCUUGCUCCAGUGUCUGUUCUUCUUUUAGAAUCCAUAUCUAUGUGCCGUGUCACUUAUAUUUGUCAAAUUGGAAGCUUUCUUUGAUCACUUAUUCCACUAAUAAUCGUGGUCACUAAUGUGUACAAUGUAUAAUUUCUCAAUGCAGUAGACCUUAAUAUCACUUUUUCAUGGAAAAUAUUCUUGGUAACAAAAAUGCUACCAUGAACAUUUUUCUUUUGUCAACAUGUUCUGCACACAAAUUUAUGAAACUGACUGAAGGGAAAGGUCUGAAUUAUAUUCCUGUAGUAAUUUGCACUUCUUGAACGUGAUCAAAAUUUCGCUGUGUAACAAGUGGAUAGAAAAUUAACUUUGACUAAAUUACAUAUAUAACUCUGUGACUUCUUAUUUGAACCAGAAAUCCUUAAGUUAGCACAUAAAAAGAUAUGCUGGAAAGAAUUCAAGGACAGAUGAUUUAUGGGGCGUCCUUUCAGAGAACUCUGGUGAACUCAAUUCAAUGAUGGAUGCUUGGUAAAAAAAAAAAAAAAAAAAAAGGGAUUUCCAGUUAUCUCUGUAAAAUCCAAAGAUAAUAUUUUGGAAUUUGAACAGGUAUUAUUAUUAAGUAAUAAGCAAACAUGCAUUUCUUAAAGGUUUAGAGGUCAAGUUGUUUAUCUUUAUCAAGAUAGUAUUAUCGUGCUAUUCAUGAUAAGUUCAGAAGGUCGUGAGGUAGCAUGGAGAUGGUUGAAGGUAUGCAGCUCCUGCUCAACAUCUAAUUGGUAGCAUGUCUAAUUGUGUAUAUAAUCUGGAAAAUAUUAUGAUUGGGAGUUGAGAAGCAACUAUUUACUUUAAAUUUAUAAUUGUAUAUAUGGUUGGAAAAUAUAUGAAUACCUAUCUCUCCAAAUUAAUAUCUUCAUAUUUAUAAUGUUUUGCGGCCUUCUCGGCAUUAUGUUCAAAUUACUGUCAUAUAUGUACUAGGUUUAGUUAUAUAGUGAAGUAGGCUUCUUCAUAAACUUGAAUAUCUUUUUUUUUUUUUUUUUUUCCUUUGUGCGGAAAAUUGGGUUGGGAACCAAUAGCUGGAGAGACUCAUUUAAAUGCACUGUUGAGAAUGAUAGAAAUACUUAUCUCCAGUCCAUGGACACUAGAAAGGUAAAAGUUUUGCCUGUACUUUUAAAUCACUUCCUUAUCAGUAGGGGCAUUUUCGAGUUCUAUAUUCAACAGUGGUGUAUGCUCUGCAGGCUGCUUUCAUUGUUGUAAUGUUAAAUGCUAGUACGACAAAUAGGAAUGGAUUUGAGUCCUUACUGAAGCUCAAUAGAGAAGCAGAUAUUGUUAAGAUUUAGUAACAUUGGAAAUAGUAUCCUGUCACUUUUUGGGUGAAAGCUACUUAAAUUUAAUGUCAUUCUUUCAUCCUUGUAAAGGUUUUUUUGCAUCUUGUCCAAACCCAAAUAUAUUGCUCAUGGUUUUAAAUUUUAUGUUGUUUGAUGAGGUAUUGGUUGUGCCAAUUAAAUCACGGUUUUUAAUGGCCUCAUCUUUCUUGCGGAUCUAAUUGUUAUUCAUAUAAAUAUCCUUUCAGGUUCAAGAUCAAUAUAUUAUUUACGUGCUUUUCUUGACAAGUUGAGAAGGCCGUGAGGUAGCAUGGAGAUGCUUGAAGUUCUGCAGUAAUGAAAAGGCCGAUGAGAUAGAAGCAUUUUUUUGCCAGCCGUAUGCAUCCUUCAUUUACCAUGAGUUUGAAGCAAAGUACCGAGCAAAUCCGACUCAAAGCGAGGUGGGUUGACAACAAAAGGCAAGAGCAAUCUCUAUACGACCUAGUCAAACAAUUAGCUCUCAAGAAAUGCUAGUGUUCCCUUUGCUUCCAAAACUAUAUUGUGAAUGUAAUUAUGUUAAGAAUAAUAAACCAUGAACAGGUUGCUACCUAGCAUCAUUACUUCUCCGUUGUGACGUAUCUCACAUGCUAACUAUGACCAAUUCCAUUACUGCUUUCUCUAUUAUGCCAAACCUAACACACAAAAAUACUGCUGAAGUCCAAACAGAAAUACGUGGU